CCUACGGGAGGCAGCAGUGAGGAAUAUUGGUCAAUGGACGAGAGUCUGAACCAGCCAAGUAGCGUGAAGGAUGACUGCCCUAUGGGUUGUAAACUUCUUUUAUAUGGGAAUAAAAUGUUCCACGUGUGGGAUUUUGUAUGUACCAUAUGAAUAAGGAUCGGCUAACUCCGUGCCAGCAGCCGCGGUAAUACGGAGGAUCCGAGCGUUAUCCGGAUGUAUUGGGUUUAAAGGGAGCGUAGGUGGAUUGUUAAGUCAGUUGUGAAAGUUUGCGGCUCAACCGUAAAAUUGCAGUUGAAACUGGCAGUCUUGAGUACAGUAGAGGUCGGCGGAAUGCGUGGUGUAGCGGUGAAAUGCUUAGAUAUCACGAAGAACUCCGAUUGCGAAGGCAGCUCACUGGACUGCAACUGACACUGAGGCUCGAAAGUGUGGGUAUCAAACAGGAUUAGAUACCCUAGUAGUC
rnacentral:rRNA from 1 species